rnacentral:rRNA from 1 species
GUCUUUAGGUGUUAAUAUAAGGUUAGUCCUGCUCAAUGAGUUUUCAAUAGCUGCAGUAAUUUAACUGUGCGAAGGUAGCAUAAUAAAUAGUUUUUUAAUUGAGGACUGGAAUGAAUGGAUUUUUGGGGAUUAGCUAUCUUAAGUUUAAGAUUUGAAUUUAACUUUUUAGUUAAAAGGCUAAAUUAAAUAUAAGGGACAAGAAGACCCUAUAGAACUUAAUUAAGUUUGUUAGUUUUGAUUUGGCAAAAUUUGGUUGGGGUGACUUGAUUAUAUAAAUAACUUUGUAUGGGGAUGACGUUAAUGAGUGGAUUUGCAAAUUGAAUUAAUUUAAUUGAAGAUGAAGUUACCUUAGGGAUAACAGCAUAAUUUUUUUGGAGAGUUCUUAUCAAUAAAGAAGUUUGUGACCUCGAUGUUGAAUUAAGGUUAAUAUGUGGUGAAGGGAUCAUAGUUUUGGGUCUGUUCGACCUUUAAAAUCUUACA